CUCUCACAUGACGAAGGGAACAGCCGACGUGACUAUCCGAAAAAAUUAUGAACAUCAGAACGGAAAAUCGACAAACCUACAUACCGACAAACCUACAUACCGACAAACCUAUACACCGACAAACCAAUAAACCGACAAACCAUUAAAAAUGACAUCAAGUAAGAAUCUCCCACAAAUAAAAACAUAGUCAAACACAUACUAAGGCUAAUGACAUACUGAGGCGUCAAAUGAAGCGGAGCAAAAAGCGUCGCAAAAGCGUCUGAGCUGCUUCUUCGAACGUCUAUAUGAAACGCUCAAACCGGUCAUACUGGAGCGGCUAAGACGCGUCGCUAGAGGCGGCGAAACAGAACGAGUAGUGUUUUGACGCGCGUAUACGUACGCAGUAUACCAUAUUCAGACUAAAUCUUUAAUCGCCGGGUGCUUUAUAUUUUCUUUGUUUUGGUUUGGUAGUUGAAAAAAGCAAAUAAAAUACAUUUUUGUUUAGAAAAUGUUAGUGCAAUAAUACCAUGUUCAGACUAAACCUGAUAUCGCCAGGUGCUUUAUAUUUGCUUUUGGUCUUAAGUUUCAAAAAAUAAUAAGGAUAGAAAAUACUAUCGGGAAAAAUUUUUAGGUCGUCGGGAAAAUAACACUGAUAUUUUUGAUUGAUAUUGUUGGGUUUUGAAUCGAAUGGCCAGAAAUCUAGCAUGCUGAACUUCUUUGGUCGCGAAAAUGCAAGCCGCUGGGUAACUAGCUGUGCUCACAUGGGUUAUUCAAAUCCUAACAGAUAUAUAAUAUAAACUAGUUGAACGUUGCUCAGGGUCAACGGGAUUAAAAUUUAGAAAAAUUUCUUAUAUUUUUUGCUACGUCUGUAGCGCAAAUCACUUCAGAAAUAAUAUUUCAUUUCUUAAAAAAAUCCCUAUUUUUACUACCGUGCUUGAAGAAGCAAAAAAAUCUUCAUUGGACGAAUUCCUAUUUCCUUCAAACAAAACCGCUACUGGAAUCUAGGAAUAUGACAACACAACGCUUUUGCGACGCUCGCUCCAGUAUGUAAUAGUAAGCUUCACCUAACGCUUCUGUUUAUUCCGCUUCUCAUACGCUCAACGCUUCGCUUCAUUUUACGCCUCAGUAUGUCAUUGGCCUAAGACUUCACAACCCAAUAUCCAUAAAUACCUGUUCUCACAUCGAUAUAACUCCCUCUUUGUUUCUCUCUCCCCCUUUAUGUUCGCAUCACUGUCCCAAGUGGACAGCCCCAUCUGCAACUUGUCCAGCUACUAUUCUCCGACGACCAGUUACCAUUGAAGUACCCACGUGAAGAAGCAAAACUAUUGACCUCAUCAACCAUCACUCCAGUAUAUGUCAACAAAGGUAAUGUCAACAGUGUGGUAAGUAAAGCGGUGCAGGCCGGUAACAUAAGGUACGUUCCCUAUUUACAACACAUAACUGCCGUUGAAACCUUCAGUCCAGAGUAAAUUCGCUCACAUGUGCCUUAUUGGUCGCCAGCGACUGUUGCGUCAUGAAUUGCUCCUGGAGGUUUUGACAUUAUAACCUGGACCUAGUGCAGAAGUAAUUCGCUUACGGCGACCAGCUAGACUACCCAUCCUAAGAAGAAGAAGAAGAAGAAGAAGAAAAUAAAAUUAUCACUAUUAUCUCUUUUUUUAUAUUUUGUUAAAUCACAAUUUUCUCCAUUCAAUACCCCAAAGAUCCUGAUUUUAUUCUACUCCCCAAAAAAAAAAAAUCUUUUUUUUCCACAAAAGCGUUUAAAACUUCCUUUGAUCCAAGAAAAUGUUUUCCUUUGUUGUCACAAUUGCGCUCAAUUUCCUUUUAUUCCGUAUGACCGACCAUUCUUCUCAUCACAAUAGAUUUAAAAUUCCUUUUGUUUCACACAUUGGCCUUAUUGUUCUUCACAACAAUAGCACUCACAACCUCCUUUGUUCUUGAUAAUAGCUCUUUUUCGACACUACAAUGGCGCUCAAAAUUCUUUGUAUCACAUAAAGGCUUUUUUCCCUCCUCUUUUUACAAUUGCGAUCUAAUUCCCACACACUUUUCCUCUUUUGCUUAGAUAUAAUUUCUUGCCUUUUCUUUAAACACAAUAUAUAUUGCCCCUUUUUUUAAAAAAAAAUUACCGAUAUCGAACCAAUAUGCUUUUCACCCUUAUUCUUGUUUACGGCCGUAUCGCUUUCGUACGAAAGCAGCAGCGGCGUACGAAUGCGGUACUAACACAUACGAAUCCGAUUCGUUCUAACCAAUUCGAGCUUUCGAACAUCGUUGCUUUCGUACGAACGUGCCAUUCUUGUUUACGUACGAAUGCGUAUCCGUAUUCUUUUUGCUCUCGUUCGCAAACGUCAGUCAAAAGUUGCGAAUCGCUGUACGAAUCGCCGGCGCCGGUAGUUUUUUCUCGUUUUUCUGCCGUUUGGUGUUAGUUUUUUGAAAAAAAAAAUUAAUAAACCGAAUAGUUUUUAUUAUAUUGAUUUGUGAUAUUGAUUUGUGAAGUGUAAGUAAAUUCUAAAGAACAUUUGAGAAUAUCCAUUCUCAAAAAUCUCCAGUUGAUACAAAUCGCCGUCACCGAGGAAUGUUUUGGUUGUUUCGCGGAAAAAAGCCGCUAGAAACUGAUUGAGGUUUGCCGUUAGUUCUGGGAGAAUGAUGAUAGAAAAAGGAAUAAGUCGCUACCAUCAAGGUACUACAAAAAUCUGCCGAAUAUUUGGAUCGUCUUCCCGGCAACAGCAAAGAGUCAACCAGCAAGCAGAUUCUGAUUGGCGCAGAUAGUUGACUGGGUAACAUGAUACAGGAUAAAUAAUUUAUCAUUGCUCAAUUGGAUGCCGAUUUGUGUACUAGAAAUAAUCGAUCAGGAGCUGCUGGCUACUGGAGAUACAGGAGAUAACUUUGCUGGGUAAAUUAGGCAGUUUCCAACGCUUUUGAAAUUACCAGCAAAUAAGAAGACCAAGAAUACAACAAAGCAACCAAUUUCUUCGGAUGCCUCAAAUUUUCACAAUUUGGUCAAUGAACCACUACAUGCUACAAAGGACAGUUUUAAUUUUAUUUUAUUUAAUUUUAUUUUAUUUAAUAAUAUUUAUUAAUAUUAAGAUUAAGAUUUAAUAAUAUUUUUUUUUUUAAUAUUUUCAUAAUCGAUUAUUAUAUAUAUCUAGUUACGGUUCUGGCGUGAAGCACUUCAGUUUAUCUCCCAAGAGUGUUGGUCAUCCAAAGGGCUUCAAUUGUGGUCAAAAUUGCAAACAUGGAUUUUAGAUGAAAAUAACCAAACCGCCGUAUUUUUUUAUUAAGUCGUCAGAGUGACCAGCUCCGAAAUAGGGUGAUCCUAAUAAAAACAGCUUUAUUCAUUGUAUUUUAUCCUAAAAACAACAUAAUUUUUGAACCAGGUGAUUGAUUUUUGAUCUUUUUGGAUCAAAUCAACGUACAUUUUUAUAGUUUCAAGAAAAAAUACGAAAAAAAUAAAUCGGUGUGCUUUCAUUGUUUAGAAUUAAAGCAGCCAAAACAUCGUAAAACAACUUCUAUCCAUAAAAAAGUUAGAUAUUUGAUUUAAUCGAAAAUUUGGGUCACCCCAAUUUUUAAUCAUUUUUCAAUAAGCGCUUUAUCAUAAGUAACAACUUUGUAGAAGAAAGUUUUUCUCUAAAACUUUGCUAUCGAGCUCUAUAUCUAAAAUUCCCUAUAAAUUUCGGUUUUGGACCGCUGCACUGAUCAAUAACGACGUCGGCUGCACUACUUGGAAAGGGAAAGGAUGAUGAUGCUUGUUCUUUUAAUAGACCGCAAGUUCUACUGCAUUUCUACGAGUGUCACAAAUAGGAAUUGUUUUAAAAUGAGUGCCAAAAUCUGGUCACUUUUUUCAAAGACUGGACGAUUAGAAUAGUCAAAAAACGUUGCUGUGCCGUCUAGUUAGCCUAAGUGUAGUAAAUACAUCACAAACAUGUUACAUUUAGAACACUAAACAUUUCAAACAUCCUCGAGAUCGUUUUCUUCCAUGUAGCUUGAACAAACAUUGUGCAGAGCACAGCAGACAUUCACAAUUUUAGCCGCUUUAGCUGGAGCAUAAUGGAGCUGCCGAGAACCAAGAAUGCACCGGAAGCGAUUUUUCAAGACACCAAUAGUUCUUUCAAUGAUGCCUCUACCCAAGCUGUGCCUAGAAUUAAAAUC